rnacentral:rRNA from 1 species
AUGCACGCUGGCGGCGUGCUUAACACAUGCAAGUCGAACGGAAAGGCCCAAGCUUGCUUGGGUACUCGAGUAGCGAACGGGUGAGUAACACGUGGGUGAUCUGCCCUGCACUUCGGGAUAAGCCUGGGAAACUGGGUCUAAUACCGGAUAGGACCACAUUUUGGAUGGUGUGGUGGAAAGUUUUUCGGUGUGGGAUGAGCUCGCGGCCUAUCAGCUUGUUGGUGGGGUAAUGGCCUACCAAGGCGUCGACGGGUAGCCGGCCUGAGAGGGUGUACGGCCACAUUGGGACUGAGAUACGGCCCAGACUCCUACGGGAGGCAGCAGUGGGGAAUAUUGCACAAUGGGCGCAAGCCUGAUGCAGCGACGCCGCGUGGGGGAUGACGGCCUUCGGGUUGUAAACUCCUUUCGCUAGGGACGAAGCGUUUUUGUGACGGUACCUGGAGAAGAAGCACCGGCUAACUACGUG